GCCCCCUCCUCUUAUCCCUCACCAUCGAUCCCCUUAUCCCUUCUCUGCACCCUCACCGUCCCGGCGAUACCUCGUUCCUCCACCUCCCCACAUGCGCCCUUUCUCUUACCAGGAAAUCCGGAAUCUCCUCAACCUCGUCCACUACCACUUUAAUGGCACCUCUCCCUCGUCUCCUACAAGCUGCAAUCGCAGUGGUAUCUUGGGCGCGCGCAGAUCUGACGCGAAACUCAACCCCGACGUCGGCCUUGUGGAAGUGGAGCGGCCAUGCGGUGGAAGGCGGUCUACUGCGGCAGCUGGAAGCACCAGCGAACCCUAGUCGCCACUGGUUACCAGCGCGGCUCCCACCUCUCCUGUUAGCUUCCUCAACAUCGUGGCUUAGUGUUGCCACGCGACCCCCUUCCAAGUUCUUUUGCCGCCUCCGCUGACGUUGUGGUCGUGGAUUCCUACAAAGGAAAGGUCGCUCGGUUCCCUCUCUCUAGUUUACGGAUGCCCUUACAAUGCAUAGGUAGUCGUUCGAAUACACUACUGCUAUUUCAUAAUCAAAUUCUGAUCUCCUUUCAUCUGCUGUAGAGAUUUGGAGCUUACUUAGCAUGCAGCAGAUUGGUUUCCCUUUUCCUUACUUUUGGCUAGGAUUACGAUUUCUGCUCCUUGUGUAUAAAUAGAUUUAUUAUUACUGCUAUAUAAACAGAUUAUGAUUUAGUUGGACUGAAUCCUUCUUAUAUUCACAAAGAUAUUUGGCGGCUUGGCAGAUGUGCCUGGUUUCCACCAUCGUGAGGCAUCGCAGCCCCACCCCAAGGUCCCUUCACUGAAGGAGAGAUCAUGUAGAAGCCAUGCCACAGCUGGCUUGAUGUGCAGGAACAAGGUUGACGCGUCUACCUGCCGCCGGCCGGACGUGUUGUGCACCCAUCAUCACCCAUCGUCUAAUACACAGUACGACCUGAUGCAUUACCGGCCCAUGAUAGCAUAGUGGACUGUAACUCUCCAGGAGGAUUUACAUGUCAGAUCCUCAGAGUUGGUUUAUGCUAGAAGCUUUCACUUUGCUGGAGUUGAUGACAUCAAGAGAAAUUGGGAAUCUGUUGGUAUGAUUGGGUAGUGGGCUACAUAGUGCUACCCACCAUAAUCCUCGCCAUGACAUGAUAGUUGCCAUCAGGAGAGUCGACGAAGAACCUGAACAGCAGCCUCAAAAGUUUGUAUGUUUUGUUGAUGUAAACUGGAUUGUAGUGCUUCUUAACCUUCUUCAGUAAUAUAUUUAGUGAAUCUAUGUUGUAAGUUAUCAUUAGAUGAAGGAUUUGUAAACUAAUAUGUUGUAUAUACAAACAGAUUUUUUCGAGAAAAUAUAUAAAUACAGA